UACGUAGGGGGCGAGCGUUGUCCGGAUUUAUUGGGCGUAAAGAGCUCGUAGGCGGUUUGGCAAGUCGGGUGUGAAAACUCCGGGCUCAACUCGGAGACGCCACUCGAUACUGCCAUGACUCGAGUCCGGUAGGGGAGUGCGGAAUUCCUGGUGUAGCGGUGAAAUGCGCAGAUAUCAGGAAGAACACCAAUGGCGAAAGCAGCUCUCUGGGACGGUACUGACGCUGAGACGCGAAAGCGUGGGGAGCGAACAGG
rnacentral:rRNA from 1 species